rnacentral:rRNA from 1 species
CCCUUAGAUGUUCGGGGCCGCACGCGCGCUACACUGAAGGAAUCAGCACGUCUUUCUCCUUGUCCGAAAGGACUGGGUAACCCGCUGAACCUCCUUCGUGCUAGGGAUUGGGGCUUGUAAUUCUUCUCCAUGAACGAGGAAUUCCCAGUAAGCGCGAGUCAUAAGCUCGCGUUGAUUACGUCCCUGCCCUUUGUACACACCGCCCGUCGCUACUACCGAUUGGAUGGUUUAGUGAGAUCCUCGGAUUGGUCCCGGAGCGGCCUCUGGUCGUGCCGGAGUGCCGAAAAGAAUGUCGAACUUGAUCAUCUAGAGGAAGUAAAAGUCGUAACA